AUUGAACGCUGGCGGCAUGCUUUACACAUGCAAGUCGAACGGCAGCACGGACUUCGGUCUGGUGGCGAGUGGCGAACGGGUGAGUAAUACAUCGGAACGUACCCAGAAGUGGGGGAUAACGUAGCGAAAGUUACGCUAAUACCGCAUACGUUCUACGGAAGAAAGUGGGGGAUCGCAAGACCUCAUGCUUUUGGAGCGGCCGAUGUCUGAUUAGCUAGUUGGUGAGGUAAAGGCUCACCAAGGCGACGAUCAGUAGCUGGUCUGAGAGGACGACCAGCCACACUGGAACUGAGACACGGUCCAGACUCCUACGGGAGGCAGCAGUGGGGAAUUUUGGACAAUGGGCGCAAGCCUGAUCCAGCAAUGCCGCGUGAGUGAAGAAGGCCUUCGGGUUGUAAAGCUCUUUUGUCAGGGAAGAAACGGUAGAGGCUAAUAUCCUUUGCUAAUGACGGUACCUGAAGAAUAAGCACCGGCUAACUACGUGCCAGCAGCCGCGGUAAUACGUAGGGUGCAAGCGUUAAUCGGAAUUACUGGGCGUAAAGCGUGCGCAGGCGGUUUUGUAAGUCUGACGUGAAAGCCCCGGGCUCAACCUGGGAAUUGCGUUGGAGACUGCAAGGCUUGAAUCUGGCAGAGGGGGGUAGAAUUCCACGUGUAGCAGUGAAAUGCGUAGAGAUGUGGAGGAACACCGAUGGCGAAGGCAGCCCCCUGGGUCAAGAUUGACGCUCAUGCACGAAAGCGUGGGGAGCAAACAGGAUUAGAUACCCUGGUAGUCCACGCCCUAAACGAUGUCUACUAGUUGUCGGGUUUUAAUUAACUUGGUAACGCAGCUAACGCGUGAAGUAGACCGCCUGGGGAGU
rnacentral:rRNA from 1 species